rnacentral:rRNA from 1 species
GACGAACGCUGGCGGCGUGCCUAACACAUGCAAGUCGAACGGAGACUUCAGAAACGAGAAUUUCGGUUCAAGUUUUUGUAGUUCUUAGUGGCGGACGGGUGAGUAACGCGUGAGCAAUCUGCCUUUCAGAGGGGGAUAACACUCUGAAAAGAGUGCUAAUACCGCAUAACGUGUUUUGCAGGCAUCUGCAGAACACCAAAGGAGCAAUCCGCUGAAAGAUGAGCUCGCGUCCAAUUAGGUAGUUGGUGAGGUAACGGCCCACCAAGCCGACGAUUGGUGGCCGGACUGAGAGCUUGAACAGCCACAUUUGGACUGAGACACGGCCCAGACUCCUACGGGAGGCAGCAGUGGGGAAUAUUGCACAAUGGGCGAAAGCCCGAUGCAGCAACGCCGCGUGAGGGAAGACGGCCUUCGGGUUGUAAACCUCUGUCCUCAGUGACGAAGAAAAUGACGGUAGCUGAGGAGGAAGCCACGGCUAACUACGUGCCAGCCGCCGCAGUAACAC